AUUGAACGCUGGCGGCAUGCUUUACACAUGCAAGUCGAACGGUAACAGGCCGCAAGGUGCUGACGAGUGGCGAACGGGUGAGUAAUGCAUCGGAACGUGCCCAGUCGUGGGGGAUAACUACUCGAAAGAGUAGCUAAUACCGCAUACGAUCUAUGGAUGAAAGCGGGGGACCGUAAGGCCUCGCGCGAUUGGAGCGGCCGAUGGCAGAUUAGGUAGUUGGUGGGGUAAAGGCUCACCAAGCCAACGAUCUGUAGCUGGUCUGAGAGGACAACCAGCCACACUGGGACUGAGACACGGCCCAGACUCCUACGGGAGGCAGCAGUGGGGAAUUUUGGACAAUGGGCGCAAGCCUGAUCCAGCAAUGCCGCGUGCAGGAAGAGGGCCUUCGGGUUGUAAACUGCUUUUGUACGGAACGAAACGGCUCUGGUUAAUACCCGGGGCUAAUGACGGUACCGUAAGAAUAAGCACCGGCUAACUACGUG
rnacentral:rRNA from 1 species